rnacentral:ncRNA from 2 species
CGAUAUUGCUAGGGGAGCUAGAGAGCUGAGAGUGGUUAAGACCAGACCCUUUGAACCUGUCACAUUCGUAUGUGCGGAGGGAAAGCAAGGCCUUUUUGGC